rnacentral:lncRNA from 1 species
GCCACCCGCUCACCUGGUGAGGUUCACGCCCAUGGCUAGGUUGCGGUCGCAGCGGUAUGUGUCGAAGCCUUCGGAGCGCAGAGUAAGCUGUACCAAGGAGACGUGAGACGAGUCCAUGCUCUGCAGGUUCACGCCGCCCGAGCUGACGUCCCAGCAGGCCUCAUUGAUGAGGUCUUUGAGAGCCUCCAGCACCUUCUUCAGGAUGGAGCCCUGGAUCAGGCGUGCCUCAAACAUGGUGGCGGAGUUGUGGCGACUAGAUGAGAGCUACUCUAAGAGGAACGAGGUCUGGCUGCCAAGGUCCCCCGAUUCACGAUGCAGAAGCGGCAGCGAAGGCCUACAGCGACAACUACCAACCCUCUGCGCCCGCAACCGUCUAAUGCCGCGGCUUCCUAGGCGCGCGCCUUUUCCCUGCGCGAGGUCAUGACGCCACAGCGCUGAUCCACCCACCUCUCCUCAAGGACCAAUCGUACCCGUGGUUUGAGCAAGGCCCGCCCCACCGCGUAUGCAAAGGCGGGGCUGCGGGGUAGGAGCCUGGGAGGCGAGGGGCAUCACGGGGUUCGCGUAGGCUGUCGUCACCGCCCAAGUUUGUGGGAGUUUAGGCUGCAGUUUCCAUCCUUAGGAAGUUUCCGCGCCACGGAAGUGGAAGUCACAGGCAAAUCGAGCUGUGCGCGGCGGCCUGCCUUGAAGCUGGAGAGUAUUUUAAACACUACGGAGCGUUUUCCCUAACGUAAGAAAUACGCUGCAAAAUAUCGAGUAAUAAAGAGGCCACCAUAUUUUAACACCCCUA